rnacentral:tRNA from 1 species
GCCUGGGUGGCUCAGUCGGUUGAGCAUCCGACUUCGGCUCAGGUCACGAUCUCACGGUCCGUGAGUUCGAGCCCCGCAUCAGGCU